rnacentral:rRNA from 1 species
CUCGUAGUGGGGGACAACCGUGGGAAACUACGGCUAAUACCGCAUGAUCCCUGAGGGGCAAAGGCGAAAGUCGCCUGAGGAGGAGCCUGCGUCUGAUUAGGUAGUUGGUGGGGUAAAGGCCUACCAAGCCUGCGAUCAGUAGCUGGUCUGAGAGGAUGAUCAGCCACACUGGGACUGAGACACGGCCCAGACUCCUACGGGAGGCAGCAGUGGGGAAUAUUGGACAAUGGGCGCAAGCCUGAUCCAGCAAUGCCGCGUGGGUGAAGAAGGUCUUCGGAUUGUAAAGCCCUUUGGCAGGGACGAUGAUGACGGUACCUGCAGAAUAAGCUCCGGCUAACUUCGUG